UUGACAAGGUGACUGGGUCAAGGUGACAGCACGCUGGCCUUUGGUCAUUUUUUAUGACAUUGUGGGUGUGUCAGCCUACAAUGCGUUAGUCAUCUGGACUGAGAUCUUCCCAGAUUGGAAAGCUUCCAAGCUGUUCAAGAGACGGCUCUUCCUCGAGGAGCUUGGGAGAGCACUUGUGACACCCCACAUUGAGAGAAGGCAGCACCUGCCAAGAAGCCAAGCCGCUGUAGUCAUGGUGAGGAGGAUCCAGGAGGAAAAUGCACCUACCCCACCUGUGCCCAAGGUUGCUGCUGCGGGAAAAAAGAGGAAGAGGUGCCAAGUCUGCAAGCCCAGUGAUGACAGCAAGACUAGCAUCACAUGCUUCAAGUGCAAAACAUUAAUGUGGUGACAUACUGCCACUCAUGUGCUUCAUAGACACACACACACACAAACAAAAUGUUCUCUCCUUCUUGUUCAGGUUUCCUGUUGUAAACAUUGUAAACAUUGUUAAAAAUUAAAUGUAGUUUUAAGAUGUAUAUUUGAAUUUAAAGGGUCAGUUUGACACCUAACAGAAGAGAUGUGUUGUUUGAAUUAUACAACAUGCCCCCAUAACAGAAACUAUUUAAAAAAUGUUUAAAAAAAUAAGAAUGUGUUGAAACAAA